rnacentral:misc_RNA from 1 species
CCGAGUUUACAACUCCCAAACCCCUGUGAACAUACCUAUACGUUGCCUCGGCGGAUCAGCCCGCGCCCCGUAAAAAGGACGGCCCGCCCGAGGACCCCUAAACUCUGUUUUUAGUGGAACUUCUGAGUAAAACAAACAAAUAAAUCA